ACCCUAUCAAACUCCGAAUGCCAUAUACUUGUACCCCGGCAGUCAGACUACGAAUGAUAAGAUCCGUGGUCAAAAGGGAAACAGCCCAGACCAUCAGCUAAGGUCCCAAAGUGUAAGUUAAGUGGGAAAGGAUGUGGGAUUUCUAAGACAACUAGGAUGUUGGCUUAGAAGCAGCCACUCAUUUAAAGAGUGCGUAAUAGCUCACUAGUCGAGAGAUCCUGCGCCGAAGAUGUAACGGGGCUCAAACUUACCACCGAAGCUAUGGAUGUGUACUUUGUACACGUGGUAGAGGAGCUUUCUGUACAGGUUGAAGUCAUACCGUAAGGAGUGGUGGACAGUACAGAAGUGAGAAUGCUGGCAUAAGUAGCGAAAAACAAGUGAGAAUCUUGUUGACCGAAUAUCUAAGGGUUCCUGGGGAAGGCUCGUCCUCCCAGGGUUAGUCGGGACCUAAGCCGAGGCCGAAAGGCGUAGGUGAUGGACAACUGGUUGAUAUUCCAGUACCACCAUAAUGCGUUUGACAAAU
rnacentral:rRNA from 1 species